rnacentral:ncRNA from 1 species
UGGGCUCAUUGAGUCUGGUAAUUGGAAUGAGUACAAUCUAAAUCCCUUAACGAGGAUCCAUUGGAGUGCAAGUUUGGUGCCAGCAGCCGUGGUAAUUCCAGCUCCAAUAGUGUAUAUUUAAGUUGUUGCAGUUAAAAAGCUUGUAGUUGGAUCUUGGGUCAUAAAGGUCGGUCUGCCUACUCAAUGUGCACCUGCCCUUUUGUCCCUUUUUCCAGUGGCGUGCUCCUGGCCUUAAAUGGACGGGUCGCGGUUACGGCAUUGUUACAUUGAAAACAUUAGAGUGCUCAAAGCAAUCUUAUGCUAUGAAUAAAUUAGCAUGGAAUAAUGCAAUAGGAGUCUAGUCCUAUUGUGUUGGCCUUCAGGAUCAGAGUAAUGAUUAAUAGGGACUGUCGGGGGCAUUCGUAUUUCAUUGUCAGAGGUGAAAUUCUUGGAUUUAUGAAAUAUGAACCACUGCGAAAGCAUUGGCCAAGGAUGUUUUCAUUAAUCAAGAACUAAAGUUGGGGGUCGAAGAUGAUUAGAUACCAUCCUAGUCUCAACCAUAAAUGAUGCCAACUAGGGAUCGA